AAAUCACAAAAGAACGUAAAUACACUAGAAAGAAAGUGAAAAACUAUUACUAUAUUACAUACCGUGCUUAAAUAGUAACGGGAAAUGAAGAUUUAUCCUCCGAGGCACAGUUUAGAGCCGAGCACAAACAACCUAUGCAAACAAGAUUGACCUUGAAGUGGUUGCAACGACAGCUCAAAAUCUACAUUACCGACAUGCGCAUAAAAAUAGUUUUUAAACAUUUUUAAACUAUGUUUACCCGCAAAACUGUAAAUAUAAAAAUCUGUGGCGAUUAA